CUACGGAGGGUGCAAGCGUUAAUCGGAAUUACUGGGCGUAAAGAGUACGUAGGUGGUUUAUUAAGUCAGAUGUGAAAGCCCCGGGCUCAACCUAGGAACUGCAUUUGAAACUGAUAAGCUAGAGUAUGGUAGAGGGGGGUAGAAUUUCUAGUGUAGCGGUGAAAUGCGUAGAUAUUAGAAGGAAUACCAGUGGCGAAGGCGGCCCCCUGGACCAAUACUGACACUGAGGUACGAAAGCGUGGGGAGCGAACAGGAUUAGAAACCCUAGUAGUCC
rnacentral:rRNA from 1 species